UUUUUUUUCUUUUUUUUUCUUUCCUCGACAAUUUUUUUUUCUUUUCUUUUCACAACUUUUCUAGAGCUCAUAAGAGUAAAUAGUAUCAUAAUAUCAUCCCUUCUUUUUCACAACCUACUAUGAUAUUCACCACACAAAGAUCCCCAUAGACUUCAUCACCCCCUAUCAUCCGGCUAAAAAAAUAAAAGCUAAAAUAGGCUCAAAGUGGAUAACAAAGGAUAAUUUUUUUCAAGGACAGUGUUUGGGAAAAAUUGUGGCUAACAAAAGAUGGCCUAAAAUCAUCUCAUAAUCCUGGGCACAACA
rnacentral:lncRNA from 1 species